rnacentral:lncRNA from 1 species
UUAUUCCAAUCUAAAUCAAUUUUAACUCUUAUAUUUGAGAGAGAAAAUGAUAUUGCUCCUAUUAACCUUGUAUUCUAAGUCAAUAAAGAUAUUGUGGAUGUUAUAAUUUUUUUAUGAGGAUUUACACAUUUAUGUAUUACAUGAUAUUCACAUCUCGAAAAAAACAUGAAAGGUGUAGUAAAUGCUCAACAAAGUAGAAAAAAAAUACUAAUGUGUGUGUGUAUUUAUAUAUAUAUGUGAGAAAAUUA